rnacentral:rRNA from 1 species
GUUAAUGAGGCGAACCGGGGGAACUGAAACAUCUAAGUACCCCGAGGAAAAGAAAUCAACCGAGAUUCCCCCAGUAGCGGCGAGCGAACGGGGAGGAGCCCAGAGCCUGAAUCAGUGUGUGUGUUAGUGGAAGCGUCUGGAAAGGCGCGCGAUACAGGGUGACAGCCCCGUACACAAAAAUGCACAUGCUGUGAGCUCGAUGAGUAGGGCGGGACACGUGGUAUCCUGUCUGAAUAUGGGGGGACCAUCCUCCAAGGCUAAAUACUCCUGACUGACCGAUAGUGAACCAGUACCGUGAGGGAAAGGCGAAAAGAACCCCGGCGAGGGGAGUGAAAAAGAACCUGAAACCGUGUACGUACAAGCAGUGGGAGCACAGAGCAAUCUGUGUGACUGCGUACCUUUUGUAUAAUGGGUCAGCGACUUAUAUUCUGUAGCAAGGUUAACCGAAUAGGGGAGCCGAAGGGAAACCGAGUCUUAACUGGGCGUUAAGUUGCAGGGUAUAGACCCGAAACCCGGUGAUCUAGCCAUGGGCAGGUUGAAGGUUGGGUAACACUAACUGGAGGACCGAACCGACUAAUGUUGAAAAAUUAGCGGAUGACUUGUGGCUGGGGGUGAAAGGCCAAUCAAACCGGGAGAUAGCUGGUUCUCCCCGAAAGCUAUUUAGGUAGCGCCUCGUGAAUUCAUCUCCGGGGGUAGAGCACUGUUUCGGCAAGGGGGUCAUCCCGACUUACCAACCCGAUGCAAACUGCGAAUACCGGAGAAUGUUAUCACGGGAGACACACGGCGGGUGCUAACGUCCGUCGUGAAGAGGGAAACAACCCAGACCGCCAGCUAAGGUCCCAAAGUCAUGGUUAAGUGGGAAACGAUGUGGGAAGGCCCAGACAGCCAGGAUGUUGGCUUAGAAGCAGCCAUCAUUUAAAGAAAGCGUAAUAGCUCACUGGUCGAGUCGGCCUGCGCGGAAGAUGUAACGGGGCUAAACCAUG